rnacentral:rRNA from 1 species
CCUACGGGGGGCAGCAGUGGGGAAUAUUGGGCAAUGGAGGCAACUCUGACCCAGCAACGCCGCGUGAAUGAUGAAGGUCUUCGGAUUGUAAAGUUCUUUUCUAAGGGAAGAAGAAAGUGACGGUACCUUAGGAAUAAGCCUCGGCUAACUACGUGCCAGCAGCCGCGGUAAUACGUAGGAGGGAAGCGUUAUCCGGAAUGACUGGGCGGAAAGGGAGCGUAGGUGGUUUGACAAGUUAGUAGCGAAACUCCGGAGCUCAACUUCGGAACUACUACCAAAACUGUCGGACUUGAGUGCAGGAGGGGCAAAUGGAAUUCCUAGUGUAGCGGUGGAAUGCGUAGAUAUUAGGAGGAACACCAGUGGCGAAGGCGAUUUGCUGGACUGUAACUGACACUGAGGCACGAAAGCGUGGGGAGCAAACAGGAUUAGAUACCCCAGUAGUC